CCAGCUCCCAUGGUGGAAGGGGUGGUUGGGGAUGGGGGAGGAUCUGUCCUUCGGGGGUGACCUCCUGUUUCUCCUGCAGAAGGUCCCAAAGGACCAUGGAGGUUGGGACACCAAAACCUGUGGGGUGUCCAUAGUCCUGGCGAUGCAGAAAGCUGUACUUGUAUCCCAAAUCAUACCUCGAGAUUUGGGAGUACUGAAGCCAGCUCAGGUUUGGAAUGCCUGUCCUUGGCAUUGCGAGUGUGUCUGCCUGAGCCAGGUCUUUUUGGUAUGUCCCUUCAGGGGAAAAGCAGUGGUGUUGGUCUGGGUGUACUUUGUUAAGGGUAGGAUAGGGGAUGGGAAUGCUGACAGUCCCAGCCAGGGAUUGCUGCCCUCCAGACGGUGAUUCAUUGAUGAGAUUAAUUAUAAUUAAUAGUGAUGUGUUUGAAACCCUAAUUGGUACUGGGAUGCACGCAUGUGCUCCACCUGCUCACACGCACGCACAUGCUGCAGAUGAGUUGCUGGCAGUAGGGAGAUUUUGAUCUAAAUUAGUCACAGAUGAGGUGGCACAAACAGCAGGGGAAGUUGUGGGAUGGAGGAGGGUUUUACCAGGGAGACACAGUGCCUCAGUAGGGCACAGUCGCUCUCUUCAGCUCCUUUUCUUGCUGUCCCAAUGGCUUCAGGACAGUGGAUGAAGGUUUACCACACACCCCUCUUCCCCCCUUUGCAUGGCAGGGGCAUGAGCAGCCAUGGGGGCAGAGUCCAGUGUGCUGCACUCAGUUGCAGAGCAGCCUGGCAGCCCUGUGAAAAUAUCUGGGAGAUGACAUGCAGCUUGGAGGGGAACUUUUUGUGACUUCGAUAAGGGAUUGACUGAAGGAUGCAGGAAGAAGAACGCUUUUUGUUUUCCCCUCAGAGUAUGAGUUGAUUGCUCAAUCUGUUUUAUAACACUGAGUUUUUACUUGAAAAUACCUACUUCAGCUUGAAACCAGAAGAUCUAACAGUGACAAAUCCAUUCAGAUCAGAUACUGUCAUUAUGAGGUGGGGUAACAAGCUCCAUUCCCAUCUGCUGAUAGAAUUAUCUCUGCUGUGUACUGUCCUCUUAUCUGUCACUCACAGCAACAUUUCAAGUGGCUGUUUUCCCCUUCAGAAAGCCACAAUGGGGGAUUAUUUUAAGCUGCAAUUGCAGAAGCAAUGCUCUUUUCUUCUUCCCUACACCCCCACACCGCCACCGCCCCCCCCCCCCCCCCCGGACCAGAUAUUCCACUGUUAGAAUUCAGCAAUGAAGUUGAGGGGAGUCUGGUCACUGAUCCCUGCUGAAGAGCCCACUCAGUCUUUCUUCAUGUGGCCUCCCAUCACACUUUGAUAUGGCCGAGAGACUUUUGGGGGAUGACAGGUUCAUUUUUCUUUUCUGACACUGUUCUCAUUAAUGUGCAGUGUCUAACUCUCACUGAAAAUCUUUUCCAGGUAGAGAAAGUGCAUCCCUGCUUUAUUAACAUCAGCAACAACUAUGCAAACCAGUCAGAGCCUGUUAAAAAAGCUUUUACUUCUCAUGGUACAGCAGCGUUUGAUGUGGAAGGAGAGUUAUUUGACCAACUGCACUGACAGACCAACUUGAGACAAGGACCCAGGCAUCUUUAUGACUGGCCUGUUGCUAAAGCCCACAAAUGAGAGUAUUUUGGAUUAAGAAAUGUUAACCCAUAGCCUUGGCUACAUUAAAACAUUUGCACAAGGAUGACAAAAUGCUGGGAAGGCCCAGGUCCCUGAAAACAGCUUAGCACCCCUACCAUGCUGCUUCAUACUUCUGAGUAUCACUAGUGGUUCAAGAGGUUGAGAGGGAUAACAGAAAUUUGGUCUAAUUGUGCUUAAAUCAGUAUGUCUUUUGCUAGGCUGAUCUUAAGUCAGCGUGUUAACAAUGUUUUCUUAUGCUCAUGAAACACACAUGCUUCUUUUAUCCAUUGCAACAUACUUUUAUCUACCAUGGUUGAAAUUCACUCUGAAUUAGAGGCCAGAACAAAGAACUGUUCACUAUCUACAUCUCACUAAAGGCCUAAGGUGGAAGGCAGGGGGAAUGUAAGAAUUGCAAAGCCUUUGUAGUAACCUGGGCUAGAAACUGAUUUUAUCUUUAAAGCUGUAGUUGUUCCCUUGCUGUUAAGUCUUACUUCACUCUACUGGUUUCAGAGCAGGUAUAAAUAGUACCUAUUUGGCAUUACCAUUUUUUAAUUUGUGCUUUUAAUUUGAUACCUGGAAAGGUAUCUUUCAUGUAAUAUUAAAUCAGAUCCUGUGAUCAUCUUUAUAAAAUAGUGUCCCAGAAGUUAGAGAUAGAAAAGGGUUAAUAAAUUGCCCACUGUAUGAUGCUGUUAAUACACUUCAGCUGAAUUCUACUUUUGUGUUUUUAAUGGACUACCUUCCAAAAUAUAGUUAACGUGUCACUUUUAGGUUUUCACUUUGAAACUAAAAAUAGCACAGCUGCUUUCUCACAAACUGGUGCUGCUGGUCAUGUGAAAUUAAAACAAGGUGACUGGGAAGGAAGCUAAAAGCUUAAAACUCAGCUAUGUUUGGGCCCAGCUGCAGAGAACAGGAAUGACAUUAAAAUAGUGUUAUGAAGGUGUGAGCCAUGACUAACUUUUCAGGGAGAGUUUUAUGGUAUCAGAUCAGAAAAAAAGUAUUUUAUCCUUUUAAACUGAAAUUCUGAAUGGUCGACAUCUGAGAAGGACACAGAGCACACCAGAACUUAGCAAAAUCUUCUCUUAUGUAUCUUUUGUUAUUUAAUUUUCUUUAAGUGCAUUUCUGCACUAAUGCACACUGACAUUAGUAGAAUAGACCAACCAAUGGCAUCUUUUGGUCCUUGUGCAAAACAAUAGUGUGUGUGUAUGCUCACCCUUAAAGUCUGGAUUAUGUCAGUGUAUGGGAGUGGAAAGUUCCACUUACUGCAGGAGGCUUUUUCUGUCUGCUGGAAAUGAAUCAGAAGAGGGGUAGUUUGAGAACAGAAGAAAAGGUUUCACUUCAUUCCUGAAGUUCAUUGUUUCUCUACGUGUUUAGUUUUGAUUUAGCAUCACAAUCCAUACAGGGGCUCUGCCUGACAGAGGAGCUUCCUGCUGGCAGGCAGAGAUGGGGACUGAAGUUUGCGGGGACAGGAGGCUGCUAUGGCUGCUUUCCCUUGCAAAACUGAACACACAUGGCACGGCUUUGACCCAGUGGUGGUGGCUGACCUUGCCUCCAACAGAGUCAAUGGCAUUGCUGGCAUACAUGUAGGGGUUCAGAGUUGUACAGUUUAGACAGGCUUGAAGAGGUGUCUCUUCAGAUCUUAUGUGUAGUUAAAGAUAUUGAUUUUUAACUAUAUCAGUGCUACAGUAAGAGGUAAACCCCUGAGCCUGUUCCUGCCAAUAGAAAUUUUGUCUUCGACAUACAGGGAGCCACUAACCUGUGUCAGAUACAGAGGCUCCUUCCCAUGUUCAUUGGGAUCUGUGUUACAACCGAAAUAUUCACAUAUCUAGAAUUAGGCAUUUAGCUGACAUACCUUAUAAUACAAGGACACUCAGGCGUGUGUGACUGCUUAAAUGCAAAAUUACCACAGGGACCCCAAAAGAAGGAAUGAAAAGUGAGAAGCCUGAACAACUUGUUUAAAUUUAGGAGGUUAAAAAUAGAAGCUGUGAAAAGUCUGUUAAAUUAUCAUGCCCUUAUCUCUGGCCAAUGCAAAAUUGUUCCCCCUCAGUAUGUUUUCUGGGUCUUUGUCUAGACUUUGUGUGUCUAGAGAGACAUUGGUCUUCAGAACGUUGUACCCAAAAGGCAUGGCUGAGUGUUUGCCAUGGGUAUUUUGUCAAUAUUUCAAGCUACCAGUAUAGCCAUAUAGCUAAGGGAGAAGGUUACUCUGGAACUCUCAGUAUUGUUUUCAGCUCCACAGUGCUUCAGCCUUUGCAUUAAUAUAGUGGAUGUUUUCCUCAGCAGAAGGCAGUGUCUAUUUGUGUAGUUCUCUCUCACACAAAGGAAAAUGUUAGAGGGGGAAAUACAGGAGGGAUAAUGGUGUUUUUUGCUAACUGGAAAAAUUCUCUGAAGCUAACAGCAGUUUCAGCCCUUCUUUUCCCUCUUCUUUUGCCAAGGAUGGCACCCAGAGAAGACCUCUGCAACACCCACCGAGUGCAGUGCAGCACUGCGUGUAUUUGACAAGCUGAGUUUGACACUCAGUGUGCAGAGUGUCAGUUUGUCAAAUACCCCAAGUGAGGCAUUUGCUGAGCAACACAGCGGCACACCAAGGUGACUGGCUCCAGGUACCCAGCAAGGUACUGAACAACCCAUCCCAUCGUUACUGAAUGCUUGACUCUGAUCCUGAGCUGUCAGGUUUCCCUUCUACCCCAGUUUUGGAAGUGCCUAUUGGGAUACUCCUAACAGCAAAUCUGUACCACCAACAGAAGUGGUGCUGGUACAGUUCCUCCACACUGCGAAGGCAGAGAAUUGGGCCCUGGCUCCUUCUUUGCAGCCAAAACCAGUGCUGUUCUCUUCCACAGCAUUAACUAGCCAGCUGCUCAUUUACAAUCCUGCUCAGUUAACAAGGAUUCUGGCAACUCUAAUCACAACAUCGUGGGUAAGGGCAGGGUUAUCCAUGAUACAGAAUCUUUUAUUUGGACAUGAAGGAAUCUUAUUUUAUUUGCAAUUGGAGUACAAACUAAUGAGGCUGCUGGUUAACUUCCUUUUAUCCCAUUAGCCAGUGAAAAGCAUGUUUGUGCAAUCUGUUUUUAAGUUAGACCAUGCAAUCCAUUACUUCUCGAAGCAUUGAUGUUUGCAGAAGAUUCCUUGGUUUUGAAUUGUAAUUCCUAAACAGCACUUGUAGCAAGAUUGCCUAUUGCAUUUUUUUUCCAUUUCUUCUGUUUAGUUAAAGUAAUUCCCUCUUGAAGAUCUAAUGAUUGGUAAACAUUUUUAGUAACUGACUUGCAGCAAAUCAGAUGUCCAGCUAGAGUUGUCUCAGGGUGGAAGGAAUGAUAGCAUGGGAAGGCCCAGCCCAGUUUGACAAAUCAAACUCUCUGAAAGCAUUCAACAUCGAAAACUUGGGAACUAAGAAAACCCCAAGACCCUACAGACUUGUUUUGGGACAGUACCAUCAGCUAAUUCUGCAAUAUUUGAGAAUAUUGGUAAAUUUUAAUGUUAAGCUUUGGGGCUUUUUGUUGCAACUAUUUCUAACUAAAUAUUUUGAAGAAGUUGGAGUUUGUGCAAAGCUGGGACCAAUGAAUGCAUAUCAUUGCCUAAGCAAAUUGUGUUCUGCUUUUUGAAUAGGUCCUGUCAGUAGGGCUUAUUGUGCACUUCUGGACAAACAUGGUCCUACUUGGUAUGACUCACCCUCCCGUGGUCUCUUUCAGGCACCUACUCGUGACUCACAGACAUCACCCUGAUCUUUAUCAUUGAGGCCAGCUUCAAAGGAGAACGAAGUCUAUGAUUUCAGG